rnacentral:tRNA from 1 species
CAAAUUAUAGCAUAUAUUAAUGCCUUUUACUUACACUAAAAAGAAAAUAGCUAUUAUUUAAUUUGA